rnacentral:lncRNA from 1 species
GUGAUCUUUUGUGUCUGGUUUAUUUCACGGAGCGUAAGUGUAAUACUUCGAAAGUUUAUCCACGUUGUAGCAGGUGUCAGUAUUUUCUUUUUACUGUUGAAAACUAUUCCAUUGUAUGGAGAGACCAUAUUUUGUUUAUGUACUCAUCUGUUGGUGGGCAUUUGAGUCAUUUUUACCUUUUGGCUGUUGUAAAUCGUGCUGCCACAAACAUUCAUGUACAAGUAUCUGUUUGAGUCCAUUUUCAUUUCUGCUGCGUAUGUGUACCCGACCCAGGAGUUGCUGGGUCUUUGGUUAUUGUUCCAUUUAACUUUCUGAGGAGCUGCCAGACUGUUUCCACAGCAGCUGUACCAUUUACAUUCCCAUCUGUAAUGGACAGAGGCUCCAGUCUGUCCACAUCCUUGCCAAUGCUGGUUGUUUAUUAAAAAUCACAGCCAUCCUGUGUGAAGUAGUAUCUCAUUGUGGUUUUCACAUGCAUUUUAUAGUGACUAAGGAUGUUGAGUCCCCUUUCUUGUACUUUUUGGCUACUUCUAUGUUGUCUUUGGAGAAAUGGCUGAUGAGCCCUUUUGAAUUGGGGUUGGUCUUUUUUGCUGCUCAGCUGUAAGAGUUCCCUGCAUAUCUUGGUUACUAGUCUCUUACCAGUUAUAUAACCUACAUUUUCUCCCACUCUGUGGACUUUUUACUUUACUGAUAAUGGCCUUAGACGCACAAGACUUUUAAGUUUUGUUGUGUCCAAUUUAUUUUUUUUUAAUUUAUUUAUUUAUGAUAGUCAGAGAGAGAGAGAGAGAGAGAGAGAGAGAGGCAGAGACACAGGCAGAGGGAGAAGCAGGCUCCAUGCAGGGAGCCCGACGUGGGACUCGAUCCCGGGUCUCCAGGAUCACACCCCGGGCUGCAGGUGGCACCAAAUCGCUGCGCCACCAGGGCUGCCCAUGUUGUGUCCAAUUUAUCUGGUUUUCCUUUUGUUGCUCCUGCUGCUGGUGUCCUAAGAAUCCAUUUGUUAGAUCCAUGUUUCUGGGACUUUUAAUAGUUUCAGCUCUUUCAUCCAUUUUGAAUUAAUUUUUGAAUAUGGUGUGAGGCAAGGGGCCAUCUCCAUUCUUUAGUGCUUAGAUCCUGCUUUCCCAUCACCAUUUUGCCACUGAAUGGUCUUGGCAUCCUUGUCAAUCUUUUGACCUUAUCUGUGAGGGUUUAUUAGGUUUCCAUUCU